rnacentral:rRNA from 1 species
AUGGUGGAACCACGCGCCGGUGCCGCUGCAGCCCCCUCCCUCGCCGCGACCGUCGCACUCCCCGCCCCCAACCAGGGCACCACCGCCGGCGCGAGGAAGCGGAAGGCCCUGGCGACGGAGAAGGCUCCGAGGAAGCCUCGCAAGCGGCAGGUUGAAGAACCGAUUCAGAUCCCUGUGUACUACGGAUGUAGAAAAGGAGAUUUUUCAAGCGUGCACGGCGGUGAUUUAGUUCAAGAUUGCCCAGCCAUUUAUGCAGAAAACAUAUGUGCGCACAUAAUCGGCGAGCUGCCGCUGCAGCCACAGUCGAUGUCACUGGUGGAUCUGCAGCUCUGGGUCUUCAAGCUGUUCAGGCUCCAUCCAGAAACACAAGAUCUCCAUGUUAAGGGGUUCCUCAAACAACGCAAAAAUGACCCGUAUGACGAAGAGGAUCCGGACUGGUAUUUGGAGUACUACCAGUGGGACACCCAUGAAUUUUACACCGACAAAUACUGGAGAUCCUUUGCAAAUAAAUUGAAGAAAAAGAGAAAUGUGACGCACAAGUUCAUGUUGUACGUGGAAUCCUCUGAGAUCAGGCACUAUGACAUAUUGCUCAAAGCAGUAAAUGAUGAUUACUCUCAGCAGGUGCCGGCUGUGUUGCCUGGGACGGAAAGCCUGGCAAGGUGUGAAUUCAGCUUCCGCUACCUUAAGGAACACCUGGCAGUUACUGCUGAGGAAAUGGCAGUUUAUCUCACUGGUCACUAUGGCGAGCAGGUUACUCCCGCUGAGGCGUGGAGGGCAAGACAGAUGGCUCUUGAGAAGGAAUUCGGUACCUUUUAUGAUUCAUACAACUUUGCCCCGAGGUUACUUAAGGAAAUAGCACGUAAAAACCCUGGUGGUUUUGUAGAGAUCAAAGAUUCACUGGUUUCAGGGUGUAAGGAUUUUCGAGUCCUUCAGCGUAUAUGUUGGGCGUUUGGACAAUCCUUACAGGCCUUCAGUGCCUGUCGCCCUGUGCUGUGCAUUAAAGGCACACCCCUAUGCGGGAAAUAUCAAGGGGUGCUGUUGACGGCUGUGGCAUUAGAUGCUAAUAAUUUCUCCAUUCCAGUGGCAUAUGCCAUCGUCGAGUGCGAGACAAAGGAAAGCUGGCUGUGGUUUCUUAGGAAUUUGGAGCGAGCAGUGGUUCAUCAAGCUGAUGUCUGCAUUAUACACGACUACAAAAAGGAGUUGAUCGACGCCGUAGAGGAUCUUCUGAAUUCCCGUCGACGACAAGGGCUGAAAGCAGAAAGCCGGUGGUGCAUGGAACACCUUGCUGAAAACUUCUAUGCAUAUUUUGGCGACAAGAACCUGGUGAUGAUGUUCAAGAAACUUUGUCAGCAGAAGCGACAACAUAAGUUCGAUAAACUCUGGAAGGAGCUUGAUGAGUUGACAUCCAAAUAUAUGGCAGAGAAAGAAUGUGGUGAAGUGCAGCAGGGGUCAGUCAAGCAUGAUGAGACAGAGCUUCAGGAGCAAAGCUCAUCCAGCCAGCCUCAUUCAGUGGAGGAUGGGAAGGAAGGAGAUCAAGCCGAUGACAGCAAAGGAAAGGUAACAAAGUUCUCUGAUUGGAUUCGUCUGAAACCAAUGGAGAAGUGGUCACUGGUGCAUGAUAGCAACGGAGCAAGAUAUGGCAUCAUGGGCACUGAUAUAACGGAUGUAUAUAAGAACGAUCCUGUAUUGAAAGGUAUAACUUGCCUUCCACUCAGUGCGAUGGUGGAGGUGACAUUCCUGCGCUUGGAAGAGUACUUCAGAAACACAGGUGACGCAGCAAACAAAGCAAUCGGCAACCCUUCAGUUAGCUUCCCGGAACGUGUCCAGGAUGACAUGAACUCCAAAAUGCAGAAAGCCGAGAUGCAUCAAGUUCUUGGGAGUGAAGAGGCUCUGAAAUUUACGGUGAAGUCGAGGCAGAGGCAGGUUACCGUAAACUUGAAGUCGGAAUAUACCCACAACAUGGAUAAGUCUAAAGGAUCCACAGCUCGAAAAACUGCUACCUGUUCAUGCAACAAGCCGCAGCUGCUUCACAAGCCUUGCUCUCAUGUCAUUGCCGUCUGUUGUCAUAUUGGGGUUAGUGCUGCUGAAUACAUGUCCCCAUACUACAGCCUGACUUGUCUAGGCAGGACCUGGAGUAAAAAAUUCAAUGAGUUCUCACGCAACUACAGAAAGAAUUUACCACGCUACUACAGAGAUGUUAGACCAUUUGAACGUGAAACACCAACUUGGAUCCCAGACAAAAGAUCGGAGUGUGGUUUUCCUGUUUAUCUGUUGUCGGACUGCGUACAAACUGCCGUUGUCGAUGAAGGGCAACAGUGCACAACUGAAGAUGAAUCAGUUGCAGGCAAUGAAUCAACAAAUGCACGCUCAGAAGAAUCAAGAACCUAG